rnacentral:rRNA from 1 species
UUUUAUGGAGAGUUUGAUCCUGGCUCAGGACGAACGCUGGCGGCGUGCCUAAUACAUGCAAGUCGAGCGGGAAUUUUAUUGGUGCUUGCACCUUUAAAAUUUUAGCGGCGGACGGGUGAGUAACACGUGGGCAACCUACCUUAUAGAUUGGGAUAACUCCGGGAAACCGGGGCUAAUACCGAAUAAUACUUUUUAACACAUGUUUAAAAGUUGAAAGACGGUUUCGGCUGUCACUAUAAGAUGGACCCGCGGCGCAUUAGCUAGUUGGUGAGGUAACGGCUCACCAAGGCAACGAUGCGUAGCCGACCUGAGAGGGUGAUCGGCCACACUGGGACUGAGACACGGCCCAGACUCCUACGGGAGGCAGCAGUAGGGAAUCUUCCACAAUGGACGAAAGUCUGAUGGAGCAACGCCGCGUGAGUGAAGAAGGA